rnacentral:lncRNA from 1 species
GAUAAAUCUCCUUUCCUGCUUAUGUCUUCUAUAAUUUCUUCCAUAUUAUCAUCUUCCUCUUCUUGCAACUUUUUGUCUAUCUCUAGUUGAGAUAAUUGAUGAAUCUUUGGUGCCUUCUGUGAGGUAAGUAACCCUUUGUUUUCUUGUUCCAUUCUUCCCUUCACUGUGUCCCCAACUGAGCCUUCCUUUCCCCGAUUGCAACAGUAUGCACUACCUGAUGACUCUUGUUCAUUUUUUGCUCUACUUGCUGCCUGACUGUGGCUGGUAUAUGCCUUCUGUGUUGUUCCUUCUUUUGUUUGUGAGUUGCUGCUGCCAGGAGUUCUUAGCCCAUGCUUUUGAUUAUCUGUUAACAUAUUUUCCUCUUGCCUAUAUUGUUGUUUGUUUUUUCUUGCCUCUAUUAUUUGUGAUUCUCCAUGUUCCCCAAUAGUUUCAUCUUCUUUCUGCCUGAUGUUAGAAGUUUGUUCUUUAAGUUGUUCCUUAUCUCCAAUAGUAACUCCCCCUAGCUUCAGAUCAUUACCCCCUGUGUUUCCUUCUCCUACCCCAGUGUCAUUAUUGUCCUCUAGUGCUCCAAAUUUGUUAGCUAUUGUUACUAUUUAGGUCUAUUAAUCUCUCAAUAUUACUGUUGUUUCUAUCUAUAAUUUUGUUUAACUUAAAUUCAUAACUGGUUGUGUACUGAUAUUUUAAAAAAACAAUAAUUUAUAGAGAGAAACAACAGUAAUAUUGAGGGAAUAAAUAUAACAUUUUGUCUUUCUAAAUGAAUUAUUGAGCAAAGUUGUGUAAAUAUAUGUAACAUGCAUGAAUAUUUAUUCCAAUACCUCUAAUAAUUGUAGACAAGUUCUAGGCUAGACCAGUUCAGACGAAAUUCGAGCGAGGCGAAGUCUAGGGCCAUCCGAGAAUGGAUGAGGCAAAAUGUCAGGCUUGAUUUAUAACCAAGAACCCGUAGGACAUUAUUACAAAAUUGAUUUUGGGUGAGUAAAACUCCUAGAAUCAAACUUGGCAUGAAAGAGAUAUAAGGGAGAAAGGUAUGUUGAAAAAUGGACUUUUUAGGAAUUUUUGAGUCUCUAAAGUUCGUGCAAUCCGCUAUAGCGCGCGGUAGGCCACUAUAAUGGGAGAGUGCAUGCACUAUGGCGGGGUGACAAUUGCUAUAGCGGGGUAAGUCAGGGUUUUACGCAGAAAAAGUCUCAAAACCUUUUAUUUUAUGCAUUAAUGUUUUUGAGUUUGAGAGGAGAAAAUUACGGCAAUUUCUACCCAAUUUUUCAUCAAAUUCAUCGGUAAAGGUAAGUUCAUUACUCCCCGAUCUUGUAAUUUGAUUCUUAAGCCUUAGAAUCUAGGGUAUUACUCUUGGGGGAAGAUUUUGAUUUGAUUUAGUGGUGGGAAAAAGCCUCGGGUCUGGUAGAAUGAUCAUGAAUUGGCCCGAGUUUAGGAUUUGGGUAUAAGUUGGAUAUAUUUAGGCCAUUUUUGAUUGAUUGUUGUUUUUAUUUAUUGCUUUAGACCAAGAACAAGCCAUGGCACCGAGAAAAGGGAAGGCUCGGAUUCUUUAGAGCAUUGAGGCUUAAUUUGAAAUAGGUAUAUAGUUGUAUGUUUUCAAGUUUAUGGAUGUACACAUGUCUACCACUUUAUAGUAUCACUUGUGUAAUGCAUGUUGGGCAAGACAUAAAAAAACAUAUGAAAUAUCAUCAUGUUGAUAAUCUCAUGCAGUGAACCUUUUUACUUUACUUAUGGUUUUAAGUGUUAUUAUUCAUUGUGAUUGUGAUUGUUUAUGAUUGCUGGUUGGCUUAGGUACCACACCGAUAUAUGAAUAAUAAUGGUUGGCUCGAUACCAUACCUCGUAAGAAUAUUAAUUCUAGUUGACUCGGGUACCAUGCCCAUACACUAACAGUUUGUGUGUGGUUCCUUGAGAGGACCAGGUAUGUGUAUUUGUGGUUCCACGAUAGGGUGGGGUUCUUGUAAUUGUAAUCAUGUGGGACCUGUUCUAGGUAUUGGUUAAUUCAUGUUAUUGUGACUGUGAGUCUAUGUGUAUUGUGAUUGUUGUUAUUAUGUGUUGGCUAAUGUUUACUAUGUUGUGGUUAUUUGUUUACAUUCAUGAUUUGGAACUGACAGAGUGAUCCUACCAGUACACAAUACACUCUGGUUGUGUAUUGAUAUUGCACCUGUUUUUUUUUGUUGAGUACAUAUCAUCUUUAAGGGGCUGAUAUGAGACCUCAGUUAAAGGAUGUUUGACUUCGAAUCCAAGGUGAGCUACUCUUCCAGACUGUCAUGGAUUCCUCUACAUCUUCUUGCCUAUCUUUUCAGACACAAACUUUAGAUUAUUAGUUUAUGUUUCCUAGCUUUCAGGGUUUCAUCCUCAUUAUUGACUAAAUAGAGUUUUGCUACUACGAUUUUCAGUUUCUAGAGGUCUUAUUUUCGUAAUAUUUUGGACUAACGACUGAGUUUAUACAAACUCAAUUCUUUAAUUGUUUUAAACUAUUUUCUUACUAUUUAUUUUCAUGAGUUGAGACAUUGUGUGUUGGAUAAACUUUGGAUGGAUAGAUUGUUCUCCCAUCAGGUGGUUAAUGUGGGUGCCACUCACGACUAUAAGGUAGUAGAAUAUUUUAAAUAAUUGAGUGACAUUUUUUACCUUUUCCCCUUGAUACUAUGUUAAAUUGGGAGGUUCUUUAGCUGGUGGACCAACCACCUGCAUUGUCUUUUUUUGACUUUGAGUAAUGGUAUUACGUAUAUUGACAUUGACAUGAAAAUGGAAUAUUAAUUUAGUGCUUGGCUUUAUUAAGACUAAGAGCUUGACUUGUUACACGAAUAAUGCAUCGUACGUUCCAUAUAUAAAUUCAUAUCUCUAUCUUUGUCUACCUUGAAUAUAUAAUAUUGUUAUUAAUUUAAGUUUAAAAAAUACAAUAAUUUAUAGAGAGAAACAACAGUAAUAUUGAGGGAAUAAAUAUAACAUUUUGUCUUUCAAAAUUAAUUAUUGAGCAAAGCUGUAUAAAUAUAUGUAACAUGCAUGAAUAUAUAUUCCAAUACCUCUAAUAAUUGUAGACAAAAUGGUGUCAUUGUCAUAAACCUAUUUAUACAUUGAAUGCGGGAAUAUGUCAAGUUCAUGUAAUGCAUUGCCAGUUUUAGAUCUAAUUCCUUUACGAAUAUAUCUUUCAGGUUAUGUUACAUCGAGCUCCAAAAAUGUUCGUACUAUGUAAACUUAAAAUUUAAUUUAUUGAGUUCUUUAUUUUUUGCUCGCAUUUUGAUGUGCGGUUCACAUAAUUAGGUGUCCAACAUACUUCAAUUUCAAAAACUUGACAGUCUAAAAAGCCUUUGAACCCUGUUUGACUCGUUCUCCUCACCAGUUUGCCCUCCAUAAAAUGAAUCAAGCUAGUAAGCUCCAAGUACUAAAUGUUUAUAUAUAUAUAUACUACCAAUUUUCAGCGAUAAAAUUCAAUAAAUCUUAGAGAAAUCAAAUUUCAAAACAACUAUAACAAAUUAUCAAGAUAUUCUGUCAUAAGCUUUUAAGACCACAUUGCCACCAUUAUUUGUAUGAAAGAUAUUUUGAAUCAUCUCCUAAACCAAGAGAAUAUUUUAUGUAAUUAUACUUAGAUUUUUUACCCUUAUUCUAUCCUUCACAAAAUCACUUUGGUUAAGAUAAAUUAAUUUAUGCAAUAGAGGAUUAAGAUUUUUUUGUUAAAAAAUAGAGGAUUAAUAAGACUACUUAUGCCCUUUUUCUUUCAAUUUUGCUAGAAUUUUUAUCCUUUGAAAGAUUCACUAUUUCAGUUACAUAUUAUGAAUUCCUUGUGAUUUGUAAACCUUAUUUUAUACAUUAAAAAAUAAAAAUAAGUUGUGUGGUUGAAGUUUCAUUGUAAAGGACCCUAUUAACUUGACAAGAUCUAAUUGUAUUUUCCAUGAUAUAUCGUGAUACUCGUGGAUCAUGUUUUAUAAGUAAUAUAUUUUUCGGCGUUUGUCUAUGAUUCUUUUUUAAGAAUCGAACUCAGAAAAUAUGUUUGGGCAAAAAUUUUAAAAAUUGGAUUUUUAGAUUUUAAAAAAAAAAAAAACAACAAAAAAGUAUUUAUUUUUUUUGAAUCCAUAUUUCUCACAAAAAGUAAAAAAAUAACUCUAAUUUAUAUUUAUGGACAAACAUAUGAUAUUAUUUUAUAUUUUAAAAAUAAAACUAUUUUUUUUCAUUGGUAAAGAGACCACAACUUUACUUUUAACAUGAAUGAGGUAAAUGCUAUCAAAAGACUUCGAUUUGGCUAGAAAAAAAGAGAGAGAGAGAGAGAGAGAGAAGGUAUUUGUUGGCAUAUUAUUUCUAGAAGUAAAAAAAGGCUUUGGUAGGUUAGGAAAAAAAUGUAUUUAUUGGCAUAUUAUUAUUGAAAAUAUGAAAGACUUUUGUUGGUUAGAAUAAAAAAAGGGUAUUUACUGGCCUAUAUUAUUUUGUAUAUGUAUAUUGGUUAGAUAAUUGUAUAUUAUACAUAUGUAUUUGUAUAUUAUGGCGAGAGAGAUUGGGAAAGGGAGGAGAGAGGCGAGCGAGAUUUGGAGAGGGAGGAGAGAGGCGAGCGAGAGAGGACAAUAAUUUGUAUAAUGCACAUCUCGUAUGUAUAAUUCGCAGGUAUGUUUGUAUAAUUCACGUGUUUUUGUAUAAUUGGGAAAUAUAAAGUCUGAAAUUAUACAAAUAUAAUACAACUCGAAAUAACGAAUUGAUUCAAACAUAAACGUAUGAACUUUAAACAAUUAUACAAAAUAUAUUAUAGAAAUUACAUUAUAUAAAUUAUAUUAUACAAAAUUCAAAAACUACACGUUUAUACAAACUUUAAAAAGUUAUACAAAAAAAGAUUGAAUGUAUAUGAUGACAAAACUGAAAAACCAAAGGAAAUCAUCGUCAUAUACAAAUACAAACAAUCGUAUACAAGUACAAAUCACACAAAGAGUUGUCAGCUGCGAAUUAUACAUAUACAAACGUGACUAAUUAUACAAACUUGAAGUCAGCCCACAUAAUUAAUGUAUAAUGGUAGUCGCGAGUGGUAAUUAUAGCAAACUAUAGCUAUGAUGAGUAAUUAAGUAGUAUAAAUUGCUUAACCGUGUAAUUUUCCCAUUUUUUUAAUCUAUAUUUUCAAAUAAUUAGGUAUUUUAAUUUUACCACUCAUUAAGAGAGUCCUACCAAGUAUCAUAUAUUGAGGAAGAUACACCUAGAUACAUACAUUUUUGCUAAUAGAUACACUAAUUUUUUUUAUCUAUAUUUUCAAACAAUUAUGUAUUUUAAUUUUAUCACUCAUUAAGAGUUUCCUAUCAAGUAUCAUAUAUUGAGGAAGAUACACCUAAAUACAUGCAUUUUUGCUACCAUAUAUACUAAAAUAAGGAGAGAGGCGAGCGAGAUGGGGUGGGAGGCAAGCGAGAUAGUCAUGUAUAUAUCAUGUAUUUUUAUAUAUCUGGUGUGAUUCACAUGUAUGUGGGAUACCGAUACAUAGAAAGUAGCGAGCAAGAUGAGAGAGAGGCAAACGAGAUUUGUUAUGUAUCUCAGAUACAUGCGAAUCCAAUUGGAUACAGUAUAUCUAGAACCAUUUACUUCUAAUUCUAAACCAAUGUAUCCCAAGAUAGACAAUUUGGUCGUACCAAAAUCUGAUAAGAUUCGUGAUCUAACAACUAAAGUGUAUCUAAAUUAUUUACUCCUAAACUAGUGAAAUUUCGAUAAGUUUUCCAAAAUAAAAUACUUUUUUUUUUGUCAUUUUCUCCUCAAUAGGUUAACAAUCUAACACCAAACUUCCAUGAUAUGUCGUGAAUCAUGUUCUGUAAUAUUUAUAAUAACCUUUGCUGCAGCUAAUUGAAAUCUAUAUAAACACUAUAACUUGUAAUCAUUUUAUCACCACUUUCUUUUCAAAAUCUUUUGUUAUACUUAAAAAAUAAAUAAAUAUGGAUGUGAAAGGCAAGUUGAUUGCUUCAGUAGAAGUGAAGUGUGGAGGACACUUGGUUCAUGAUAUUUUUCACACCAAAACUCAUCACAUAUCCAACAUGUGCCCUAGCAAGAUCCAAAGUUUUGAGAUUCAUUAAGGUGAAACUGUAAAAGUUGGUUCAGUCGUUAACUGGAAAUAUAAUGACGGUAAUAUAUACACAUUAUUCCUUUUUCUACUUAUGAAUCAUUUUUCUUUUUAUAUAUUUAGGUGUGUUUGAUGGUACUGAGAAAGUUCAUUUCCAAUUGAACAUUUUUCAUAAAAAAGUUAUUUAAUGGUGUUUAGUUACCAUAGGGUAAACAUUUUACUCUAAAAAGGGAAAAUAACUUCUUUCAUUUGAGGGGAAAGUCAUUUUUUCAUAUAAGUGUCCUAAUUUUUAAGAUCAUAUUAUUUGCUCCCAAAAGUUUAUGUACUUAUAAGUUUCAACGGGUAAUAUUAUUAUACGCAAUAUUAUUAUUUUUUAACUUUUUUUUUACUCUCUCUAGGAUCUCCCAUCCGUGUUGCUCCCUUGGUGACUCGAACUCGCAACCUUCGGGUUGGAAGUGAGGGGUGCUUACCAUCCGAGCAACUCCUGUUGACACCCAAUUUUGACCCUCCCCAAUAGGAAUUAGUUUUUAAGCUUCUUUAAUUUCAAAUAAUUUGCAAUAAUUAGCUUUACGAGGUUCAAAUAUUUUCUCAAGUUACUUUAAGAAUUUUAGUUACUUUUCCUAAUAUUUUAAAUAUCAUAUAUAUAUAUAUAUUUCUUAUAAACAAAAAUCAUCUCAGGAUUUUACAUUUUUGGAUAAGUACUUUAUUGAUUUGGUUUAAAUCAUAAUUGCCAUUUCGAAUAUUAGUUCGUAUUCUAAAACAAUUAUUUUGCAAUCAAGUUGAUUAUUUUAUAUCAUUAGAACUAAGAAGCUCAUUAAUUAAUUUCUACUAAUUCUUCUUUUUAUUUAGUUUUUAGCCGAAUCACCAAUUAAACUCAUUUGGCUAGAUUUUUAAUUCCGAUGGGCCUCGAUGAAAAUUCAUACUAUCAUUUUCUUAAUCGCAAUUUUAGUGAUUUUUCAACUAAAUUGUAAGACCAAAGGUUGGGCCAUUCACUUAGAAUUUUCAGCAGCCCAUAUUAGUUUCCAGAAGACCCUUUCUUUUUUUAUUGGGAAAAUUGUACAUAAUGGCAAACUAUUAAUUCAAAUUAAAUGGUAUAAUCACACUUUGAUUUAAUUGUGUCCUAUAGCAAACUGUUUGCCAGUGCCUCUCUCCCUCAAACUCUCGCUCGCCACUAUCCUCUCUCGCUCACUCCCUCUGUGCUCGCCUCUCUCGCUUUAUACAACAGAAUUGUAUAAAUUGCGUUUCUGUUUGUAUAAAGCGCGAGAAAAUUGUAUAUACACAUGCAAAUACAUAUAUAUUCGUCCUAUACACUUAUAAUUAUACAAUAAAAAUAUUCCCCUGCCCAGUUUUAUGUUUGUAUAAUGUAUAAUUUAUGUUUGUAUAAAGCGAAAGAGAGCGAUUUUUUAUAUACAAAUAUUUUUGUCAACGAUUUAUACAAACGAGAGGCUAACAAUAAUUUAUACAAAUGGCCUGCCAGCGAAAUUAUACAAUUCUGAAGAGGAGCCAACGAAUUAUACAAUUGCUUCUUUUUGUAUAUAUGUAUAGCGAAAUAGACAGCUUUCAAUUGUAUAUGUAUAGCGAAUUAUACAUAUAUAUGUCUGCUAUGGAGCGCAAUUAUGCAAACUUUGCUAUAGCAUACAAGUAUGAUUUUUUUUGUUUGCUAUAUAUGAAAGUUUCUCUUUUUUAUUUAUUCUCUAAUUCAGAGAGAUCCAGCCCAACUCUUUCUUCUCCUCAAUCUUGACCCGGCCCAAAUCCUUGUUCAUCAAGAGAAGACCCAGAAUGUUCAGGAACUACACAUAGCAGUAGCUCACAGCAAGUCACGGCGUCUUCUCGUUUAACUCAAAACGAUGAUCCAAAACAGCAGAAAAUGACUCCAAGUACAUUGAGGGCAACACGGCGUCUGCGCGUGUAGUUUGCGCUCGCGUCGUCUCUUCUGUCCAGCACGAUAGUACCAUUCCAGUUGGAUUUUUUGGCAAAUGCGUGCAGUAGGAGCAGCAAAAGCCAGCUGCGAAAUUCAUCCUUGUACCGUGAGAUUGCUCCACGUGGCAUGGCGAGGAUGGAAGGUCGAUCCCAAGCGUUGAUUUCGCCCUUUCCUCUUUCGAAAUGGGCAGAAAUCGCAGAGAAAAGGUGUUUAGCUCGAAUGAUGCAAAGUUUUUGAAUUUCAAAUUGGAGUUGGGCCUUGUUAAUCCGGAUUUUUUUGAUCCUUUUUUCCUUUGAAUCCGAACCCUAGCUUUCUUCUAUAUAUUCCUCUUUAUUCAUUCUAAAGGGAGAGAUUUUUGUUUUGGAGAGAAGAGAGGAGAUUUGAGGAAAAUUUGGGACGAACAUAUAUUUUGAUAUUCCUAAUCUUACAGCUAGAUACAAGCGUUUAGGAUAGCUAAGGGAGGGCUGCGGGACUAGGAUCUGGACACUUGUUUAAUUCUCAUUUGUGUCCUUUCCCUAUCUUGUUCGUCGGGGCUACCGGAAAUUGUCGAACCCCGCAUUACGGUGGUGGAAAUCCUUGCUCGUCUCGCUCCCAUUCGCUGCUCACAACAAGGUAAACAACUCAUAAUACUUUUAUUCGUUUUGAGUUCAAUGUGUUGGUGUGGAGUUCGGCUCUUUGUCAUCUCUGAUAUGAUUCUAUAUGGUAGGUUGAGUCUUAGUCUUUAAUGUCUCUUCAUCUUCUCUCUGAAGUCGGUAAUGUGUUUCUCUUAAGACGAUUUAAUGACUGUUCGAGUCUGGUCCUCUAUUUUGUAUUCUGCUCAAACCUACGACUGUCGUGCGCUCUUUACAUUUUAGCUUGUUUCAUUGGUUAACCAGGGUAUUGUUUUAUUCUCACUUUGUUGGAUUAGUAUUCAUGUUUUUGUUAUACGUUUGGAGGAAGUCGAAGGCAUUAGCUAGUUGUACGUUCUAUGUCUUAUAAAUAUAGUUAAAUUGAGGGAUCGUUUUUUUAUUUAUUUAUUUUGAACUGUUUAUAUCCUGUUCCGGGAGGAAAUCCUUCAUAUAUGUUCCCGAGUUAUAUGUUGCUCACUGUCUCACCUCAAGAAAUUUGAACUCUUCUUCUGUGUCUGUCCCAUCUCGAGAUAGCCGUGCCUUGAACUUUUGGGAAUGCUGGAAAUUAGUUGCUAUUUUCUCUUGGUAGCAUUGUGAUGAAGUCCCGUUCUGGUCCCAUGUGUUGGUAUUUUCUCAUGUGUAUGUGCCCAGUUUGAGUCUUAUAUAUAUAUAUAUAUAUAUAUAUAAUGUCAAAAUUCGUUUCUUAAACAUGCCUAAAAUUCCUGCAAAGUCUUAGCUUACUUUGUUAAUUUUGCCUGGUAACACUUGUUCAUUUAUUAUUGUUGUCUCUUCAGUGAAAUAAUGGUCAUCUCCUUUACUGUUUCUUCCUUUCUCUAUUUUUUUUUCUUUGAUAGUUUGACUAUUCUAACAUGGUACUUUCGAGUGUCGUGAAAAGGCUAUGCUAAUCAGACCCCGUGCAGGUACGGUCUUUAAAGAAUUUGGUGUUUAAUGUAAUAGUUGUAUUUCCAUUCGCUUUGUGUUGACAUUGGUCAUCAUUCUCAAUCUGAGGAACUCAAUCUUACAGAACAAAAGCCUCAGAUUCAUGUUAAAGAGAAAGACUAAUCAUGCAGUCUUAGGCCGUCUAUGGGCUUCUACUUAUAGAAGAGUGAUGGGCCAAAUAUUUUUCUCCUUCAUAGAAAGACUGUGGAUUCAACUCUUCUGGCUUUUCUUUUUCUUUUAUUUUAUAUAGAGAAUAAAGUUUGUUAUAGGACUGACUAAUUGUAAAUAGGACAGCUGGAGGUUAGUUACAGAUUUAGGUUUCUUCUUUCUAGCAUAUAUAGCAACGCUUGUACAGUGGAUUGGAUCAUCACGUUUUUCAUUUUUAAUAUCACAAGAGAAAAUUCCCAAAGUUUCUUUCUUUUUCUACAUAGUAUCAAAGACUUAGGGGUUUUUCUUUCUGCUCUCUUCUGUUGAAUCUCUACUCUUUUAGUCAUGGUUGAAACCACUGAUGUGCCGAGCACUAUUAUUUCGACUGGAGCACUCGAUGUUUCUCACCCUCACUACCUUCACCCCUCUGAUUCUCCCGGAAUGAUGUUGGUUCAUUCUCUUUUUGAUGGCAAAGGAUUUGCUGGUUGGAAAAGAGCUAUUGUGAUUGCUCUUUCUGCCAAAAACAAGUUAAGUUUCAUUGAUUCUUCUCCCAUUGUGCCCCUUAUCACAUCACCUCAGCAUUCUGCUUGGAGCAGAUGCAACAACAUGGUAAUUUCUUGGAUCAUCAACUCUCUUUCACGGGACAUAGCUGAAUCUGUCUUGUAUUAUCCUACUGCAAAAGAAAUCUGGAAGGAAUUAGAGGCCAGAUUUGGGCAGUGCAAUGGAGCACAAUUAUAUCAACUUCAAAAGGAACUCAAUGAUGCUGUACAUGGGGCCAAUGAUAUCGCAGGUUACUUCACCAAGGUGAAGAAGUUAUGGGAUGAACUCGACGCUCUUAAUGUUUUUUAUUGUUGUGUGUGUGCUUGUACCUGUGAAGGAAAGGCGAAAACUGCAAAAUCCCAUCAGAAUGGUAGACUCAUUCAAUUUUUAAUGGGUCUAAAUGAGGCAUACUCAGGUGUAAAGAGUAGUAUUCUGAUGAUGGACCCUCUACCAAGUGUGGGUCAGGCUUACUCCUUGCUCAUUCAGGAUGAAAAACAGCGUGAAAUGCAUGUAGUCUCACACCCUACAGACGUUGCUUUCAUGGCAAACUAUCAGAAGUUCCAGAGAAGAUUCACUCCUUAGAGAUCUCCUCCAAAUGUGGAUGGACGGAUCAAUCCUAAUUUCGACAAAUCUAAGACAGGAAAAUUUUGCACUCAUUGUAAGCUUACUAAUCAUAAGGUUGCUAACUGUUACAGAUUAAUUGGUUUUCCCUCAAAUUUCAAAUUCACAAAGUCCAAGAGGAACCCAAGUUUUGGUACCACUGCUGCCCAGGUUGGAACUUCACAACUACCUGAUGGUAUGUCCUCUAGACAAUACUUCUCUCCUGAGCAAUCUUCACAUCUAUUCCAGCUGAUGCAAGAUGCCAAGCCUAGCCAACAAAAUGAGCAACAAUCAGAUGUCAAUGUCUUAGCCAAUUGUGCUGGUAUAGUCAAACCCCUUCUCGAUCCUACUACGUUUUCUUUAUUCACUCAUCUUGAUUCACAUUCAUGGAUUCUUGAUUCAGGUGCUUCCGAGCACAUGACUUAUGAGUCUUCACUCCUUUUCAAUCUCACUUCCUUACCCUCUCCUAUAUAUGUUUGUUUGCCUAAUUCCCAUCGAUUGAAAGUAACUCACAAGGGCAGUGUUUCUUUACUUCAUGAUCUGGUUCUUCAUAAUGUACUUUAUGUGCCUGAUUUCAAGUUUAAUUUAUUAUCCGUUCAUAAAUUCACUACUCAACUAACCAGUAUCUUGAUUUUCUCUUCCUUUUGUGCUAUAUUGCAGGCCCCUUCUAUGAAGAGGCUAGUGGUUCUUGGUGAAGUCCAUGGUGGGCUUUAUCUUCUCAACUCAACUCCACUCUAGUCUAGCCAUGUUUCCUCUUCCCCUACUUCUCCUCAGGAGGAUCACUUGGUUGCUAAUACUCCUUGUAAUGAGUCUGUUUUAGUAGCUGAUUCUAGUUCUAUUUCAAUUCCUUCAAAGCUUUUAGCUAAUGAUGUAAGCCUCUGGCACAAUAAACUGGGGCAUUUGCCCAUAUCUAAUAUGAAAAAUCUUUCUAUUUUUCACUCUGUUUGUAUUCCUGAUUCUAUUGUUCCUUGUGAUAUUUGUUGCAAAUCUCGACAAGCUAAAUUGCCUUUUCAACCUUCCAUCAUUUCCUCUAAGUCCAUUUUUAAUCUUAUACACGUGGACACUUGGGGACCUAUAAGGUUUCAACUCACAAUGGUUAUCGUUAUUUUUUAACUAUUGUUGAUGAUUACAGCCGAGCCACUUGGACCUAUCUUCUUAAAACCAAAAGCAAUGCUUUCACCAUUAUAAAAUACUUCAUCGCCUUAGUGGAAAAACAGUUUAAUAGUUCUGUCAAAGUUAUCAGGUCUGACAAUGCUAAAGAACUUGGUUCAAGUGUGGCGAAUUCUGAUUUUCUUUCUUCUAAAGGUAUUCUUCGUCAAACCACUUGUGUUGGUACUCCACAACAAAAUGGUGUGGUUGAACGAAAGCUAAACACCUUCUUGAAACCUGUCGUGCUCUUUUAUUUCAGUCUCAUUUACCUUCUAUCUAUUGGGGGGAGUGUCUUCUUACAACUACUUAUUUGAUCAAUAGGUUUCCAUCUAGGGUUCUUGAUUCACACACACCUUAUGAAUUGCUCUUUGGGACAGUCCCUUCUUAUGAAUCAUUACGAGCUUUUGGUUGUCUUUGUUAUUCCAUAACUUUGUCUCAAUCUCGUUCCAAACUUGAUGCGAGGGCUGUUAAAUAUGUUUUCAUUGGGUAUCCUUUCAAUCAAAAAGGAUAUAAGCUGCUUAAUCUAGAGUCCAACCACAUUUUUGUCUCUAGGAAUGUCAAAUUCUAUGAAAAUAUCUUUCCUCUCUCUGCUUCCGAUACCUCACUCACUCCUUCUCCCCUUCUUCCACCCAUCCCUGAUUUACUUGAUUUCCCUGAUGUGUCUACUUCGCCCAUUUCUGUGCCUUCCUCUCCUUCCCCUUCUCCUGUUCCUACUCCUAUCACAGAUCCUCCUACUCCUCCUGUAUCUCCACCUCGAAGAUCCUCCAGAAUUUCUCAUCCUCCUAGCUACUUAGCAGAUUAUUUUUGCAAUUCUGUUUACUACACUGACCUUCACUCUUCUUGUUUCUCUGCUAUUCCUGCACCUCCUUCUCUCCAUUUUCCUGCCCUUUCUGCCUCCAAUAGGUCUCUCCUCUCUUCCACCUCUCCCAUUUUUGAACCUACUUCAUAUUCUCAAGCAUGCCAUCACCCUUGUUGGCAAGAGGCUAUGGCUGCUGAUUUUGCUGCUCUUGAGGCUAACCAAACUUGGCAAGUUGUUGAACUUCCUAAUGGUCACAAAGCUCUCCCGUGUAAAUGGGUCUACAAGGUUAAGUACCUUGCUAAUGGUAGUGUCGAUCGAUUUAAAGCUCGCCUGGUUGUUCGUGGGGAUGUUCAAAGAGAGGGGAUUGACUAUACCGAGACCUUUUCACCUGUGGUCAAGAUGACCACUAUUCGCUGUUUGUUGGCAGUUGCUGUCAAGAAGGAUUGGAAAAAUUUUCAGCUCGAUGUUAAUAACGCCUUUCUACAUGGUGAAUUGCAAGAGGAAGUCUAUAUGCGAUUUCCACCUGGUUUGCCCCCGCCGAGUCCUACUCAUGUUUGCAAGCUCACCAAAUCCUUAUAUGGGCUCAAGCAAGCCUCCCAUCAGUGGUAUACCCGUCUUAUAGCAGCUCUCACUUUCAAAGGGUACUUUUGUUCAUUAAAUGACUAUUCUCUAUUUUACAAGACAUCUGUUUCUGGAGUUUGUGUUCUUGCUGUCUAUGUCGACGACAUCCUCCUAACAGGGGAUGACCUCAAUGAAAUUUCUCUCAUCAAGCAAUUUCUUUAUUCAGAGUUUAAGAUUAAGGAUUUGGGUACUGCACAUUUCUUUCUAGGCAUGGAGUUGCUCCGUGAGCCUCAGGGUCUCAUUCUUACACAGCGGAAAUUCACUUUGGAUUUGUUAUCCGAGUUUGAUUGCUUGGAUAAACGCCCUGCAGCAUCUCCUCUUGAACCAUCCUCCAAACUUCAUGCUGAUGUAGGUGAUCUUCUCCCGGAUCCUUCUGUUUAUCGUCACCUCAUCGGUAAGCUCAACUAUUUGACUCACACCCGACCUGACUUAGCUUUUGAUGUUCAACACUUGAGUCAGUACAUGCAGACUCCCCGUGUUCCUCAUUUUGCAGCUGCAACUCAUUGCCUGCGUUAUCUUCUAUCCACCACUGGUAUUGGUCUCUUUUUCUCCUCCGAUCCCUCUUUCAAGUUGCUUGCUUUUUGCGAUUCCGAUUGGGGUUCUUGUUCGGAAACUCGUCGCUCUAUUAGUGGCUAUUUUGUGAGUUUGGGAGGCUCACCGAUCUCGUGAAAAUCGAAGAAACAACCUAUUGUAUCUCUCUCUUCCGCUGAGGCGGAGUAUCGAUCUAUGAGUCGUGUGGUUGCGGAAAUCACCUGGCUGGUGCGUUUGCUUUCAGACCUCACUGUUUCUCCUACCCUUCUUGUACCUCUUCACUCUGACAGUCAGGCUGCUAUUCACAUUGCUAAAAACCCGGUUUUUCAUGAACGUACCAAGCAUGUGGAACUCGAUUGUCAUUUCGUUCGUCAACAGUUCCUCUCUGGGCUCAUUUCUCUGAUUUUUGUCCCUUCUGCCUCUCAGCUUGCCGACGUUUUCACCAAGUCUCUUCCUGGUCAUCAUCAUCGCCACCUCACCUGCAAGUUAGGAGUGGUCUCACACCCCUCUAACUUGAGGGGAUGUGUUGACACUGGUCAUCAUUCUCAAUCUGAGAAACUCAAUUUUACAUAACAAAGGCCUCAGAUUCAUGUUAAAGAGAAAGACUAAUCAUGCAGUCUUAGGCCGUCUAUGGGCUUCUACUUAUAGAAGAGUGAUGGGCCAAAUAUUUUUCUCCUUCAUAGAAAGACUGUGGAUUCAACUCUUCUGGCUUUUCUUUUUCUUUUAUUUUAUAUAGAGAAUAAAGUUUGUUAUAGGACUGACCAAUUGUAAAUAGGACAGCUGGAGGUUAGUUACAGAUUUAGGUUUCUUCUUUCUAGCAUAUAUAGCAACGCUUUUGUAUAGUGGAUUGGAUCAUCACGUUUUUCAUUUUUAAUAUCACAAGAGAAAAUUCCCAAAGUUUCUUUCUUUUUCUACACUUUGUGAAUUUAAUUAUCAAUAUAUGUUGCUUCUUACUAUUCGCUUUCUUCGUUUUGCAUGUGAAAUAUGUCCGAGUUCAUUGUGAACUCAUUUCCCUGCAUUUCAAGAGAGCCGUAAAGGCGCAAAAUCCUUUACAUGAGUCAGUCAACUGACCAUUUAAAGUCGACGAACAGGUUCCGGAGUUGAAAGGACACGCAACAAUUUGGAGAAUUGAAAAUUGGGCCAAUCUUAAUUUCAGAAGAUUGAAUUUUGUUAGUUUUGGGCCUAAGCCCUUGUUAUUUUAUUUUUAUCUUAUUAGUAUUUAGGACAGGUGGAAGACGGGCGUAAGGUCCAAAGAAAUAAGUUUUAUGUUAGUUUAGGACAGGUGCAGAUAACUCAAAUGGGCCGAAGGCCCAAAACGAAAAUGAGCCCAAAUACCGGCCCAGGCGGACAGGAAAACCAGAUUUGGGCCCAAAUUCCUUUCUCUCUUUGUUUUAUUAUAUUUGUUUACUCAUUAUUUGCUAUUAAUCUUAAGGUUUUAAAAGAAUUCAAAUCCCCAAAAGACACCCAUUUUUUUAAAAAAUUAAUUACUUAACUAAAUUGUUCAUCUCUUACUUAACGUAAAAAAUAAAUAAAUAAAUUUACAACAUAUUUCACUUAUAUAAUAUUUCAAUAUUUCCCCUUUUCCCCUUUAAGAUAGUUCUAACCGUAGAAUAAUUCAAUUUUGCAAGUCAAGUUAACUCGAAUAAAACUUAGCCAAAUAGUUAAUCGUCGGAUAACCACAUUAGUGGACAUUCUAGGUGCUUUUAAAACCUUCCUAGAAUGUUAAUAAGAACCUCGAACCCCUUUUUUAAGUUUUCACUAGAUUUCUGUUUUAGUCUUUUGCAAACGACAGUUUUCUUGAUUUUUCUUAAAAAUUAAGUGGAGACUCUUAAACCAGUCUAAAUAAUAUUUUCCUAUUAAAACAACUCCCUCUCGUCAUUAUACGCAAUAUAGAUAUGUGCAGAAUCGAAAAAAAUAUUAUUAAAAGAGUAAUCAAGUUCUGAACCCACAUUUGCAAAGUGUAACGAGUAUUAGUUGUAUAAAUAUAGACGUUGAACCAAUCAAAUUUAAAUCAUUAAUGAUCUGUUUUUGUUUGCUCCAAAUAUUUUGACAUUAAUAAUCUUUAGUAAUAAAAAUAUUUAUCAGAACACCUUCCAAUUUACGGAAGAAAUGAUUUAACUUUAACUUGUACUUUUCAUAAAAUAUUUUCUCAUGAUCAAUCAAAUAUUGUGAGACGUUAUACAAACAUUUUACAGAUUUCAUUGGAGAAAAUGAAAAACAAAGAAAAACCUAUAAAACGAUCGAGCUAAAAAUAUGUAAUUGUGAAUGUUCAACUUGAAGUUUGAAGUGAGUAACUGUUAAGCUCAAGAUCCUCAAGAAUGAGGUGAAGUAUGAGAAACAUACAGGAGGAAGAGAGAAGAAAAUUAGUAGCCGUUAGGAGUACAUUGAAGAUAUUUAUAGUUCACUAAUCUAACUACCUAAUUACAUGGGCCAUCUUAGUUUAUUGGGCUAUAGUUUACAUUUGGGCCUUAUGCUUUCAUUCUAUCCUACAGCUCCCCUCAAGCUAGGAGUGGUAAACAGAUUAAACAUUCCUAGCUUGGUCAUGAGAACUUCAUGUUGUAGUCUACUUAAUCCUUUUGUAAGAAUAUCCGCUGGUUGAUCUUUGGUUGAUAUAUACUCUGUUCUGGCUAGCCCUUUCUGAAAUUUUUUCUCUUAUGAAAUGACAAUCAAUGUCAAUAUGUUUGGUUCUUUCAUGGAACACUGGAUUGGCAGCAAUUUGAAUCGCUGACUUGCUAUCACUGUAAAUGCAUACUGGUAGUUGUAGUUGUACUCCAAGAUCCUUCAUUAAUCCAGUUAACCAAGUUAGUUCAGAUACUGUAGUUGCCAUGCUUCUGUAUUCAGCCUCUGUUGAGCUUCUUGAAAUCGUAUUUUGCUUCUUUGACUUCCAUGAGAUGAGUGAAUCACCUAGUUUUAUAAUGAAUCCUGUAACUGAUCUUCUUGUGAAGGAGCACGAUGCCCAGUCAGCAUCACAAAAUGCUGAAAUUGUGUCUUUCUUGUUACUAGACAUGAGAAUUCCUAGGACAGGUUGUUGUUUGAUAUACCUGAGUAUUCUGAGAGCUGCUUCCAUGUGUGAUCUUUUUGGUUGCUGUAGAAACUAGCUAAGUGUUUGCACACUAUAUGCUAUAUCAGGUCUUGUUACAGUUAAAUACAAUAAUUUUCCAAUUAAUCUCUGAUAACUUGCCUGAGCCUCUAUCACCUCAUCUAGUGCUUCAGUACUUGAUUCUUCUAUCUUCUUCUUCAAGUGUUGAUCAUAUUCUUUAGUCGUCAGUUUGGUGCUAUUGUCCAUAGGUGUAUUGGCUGGCCUUGCACCACUGAGUCCCGUUUCUGAGAUCAAUUCCAAUGCAUACUUUCUUUGAUGCAUUACUAUUCCUGAUUCAGCUCUUGCGAACUCUAUUCCUAAAAAGUACUUUAGUUCACCCAAAUCCUUCAUUUUGAAAGCUGAAUGUAAAGCCAAUUUUGUUUCUUUGAUCAGUUGUAAGUUGUUUCCGGUGAUAAGCAUAUCAUCUACAUAAACCAACACAGCUGUGAAUCCCUUUUCUGUCUUCUUGGUAUAUAAAGAAUGGUCAUAUUGGCUCUGCACAAAGUUGAACCUCAGUAGUGCUUCUGCUAACUUUGCAUUCCACUGUCGUGGUGCUUGUUUCAGUCCAUAUAAAGAUUUCUUAAGUCUGCAUAGUUGUCUCAAUCCCCCCUGACUUUGAAAUCCUUGUGGCAAGUCCAUGUAUAUUUCAUCAUGUAGGUCACCUUGAAGGAAGGCAUUGUAUACAUCCAUUUGAUGUAUGUGCCAUUUUCUAGCGGCAGCAAUAGCCAAUAUGGAUCUGACCGUUACCAUUUUUACUACUGGACUGAAUGUCUCUUGAUAAUCUAUUCCUUCUUGUUGACUGUAGCCUUUUGCUACAAGUCUGGCCUUGUAUCUUUCUAUCUCCCCAUUAGCUUUGUACUUGAUUUUGUAAACCCAUUUGCAGCCAAUUGAGGUCUUGCCAUGUGGUAAUGGUACUAUGUCCCAUGUGUUGUUUUGUUGUAAUGCAUCUACUUCAACUUUCAUGGCUUCAACCCAUUGCUUGUCUUUAAUAGCUGUUGCAUACGUAGAGGGUUCAGUAACACUAGACAUAGCAGAUAUGAAUGCAGCAUACUUAGGAUGAACAUGAUCAUAAGAUAUAUAAUUUGAUAGUGCAUAAGGUGCAUUAUUAUCAAUAGUUAGAGAGACAAACUCCUUCAUCCAACAUGGUGGAUGAAUCCCUCUGGUUGACCUUCUUGUUGACUGAGCUGUAGAUUUUUGUUGCAGUUGAGAUAUCGGUUGACUCACAGAUUCAGCUAUAGGCUGCACCAUAUGUGGUACUGCUGCAACAUCAGUAGGUCUUGAAGUAUCAUUGUUUGAACUUGUGAGCUGUUGCAAACUUGUAGAAGGAUUAAUAGUAAUAGACAAUAGAGGAUCAUUAUCCUGAUAAAGUUCAGGUUGAGGAAAUAAAGUAUGCAAACCUGAAGUAGCAUUUGCAAAAGGAAAGAUAUUUUCUUUAAAUUCCACAUCCCUGCUGACAAAAAAACAUUUUGUGGAUAUAUCAUAUAAGAUAUAGCCUUUUUGAGUCUCGGAAUACCCCAUGUGUACAGCUUGUUUAGACCGAGAUUGUAGCUUGUCUGUUUCAUUUAAAACUUUAGCAAAACACAAACAACCUAGAAUUCUUAGGUGCAUAAGUGAUGGUUUCCUGUUGUGUAAUUUUUCAAAAGGAGAAUAAUCAUUUAUAACCUGUGAAGGCAACCUGUUUAUGAUAUAAACAGCUGCUUUUACACACUGUCCCCAAAAUAUGAUGGGAACAUGGGCUUGAAACCUUAUUGCCCUAGUCACCUCAAGGAUAUGUCUUUGCUUUCUCUCAACAACUCCAUUUUGUUGAGGUGUAUAGGGGUAAGAUUUUUGAUGAAUUAUACCUAACUUAGUAAAUAAAUCAUGACAUAUAAAAUUUACAAAUUCUGUUCCGUUAUAUGUUCUAACAGUCUUAACAGUUGCAUCAUAUUGAGUUUUAACAUGCAUCAAGAAGUUCUUAAUAUGCAAGAAAACAUCAGAUUUUUGCUUUAAUAGGAAUAUCCAGGUAAACCUUGAGAAAUCAUCCAAAACAGUUAAAAACGACUUACAACCGUCAUUAGUAGCAGUCCUAUAAGGACCCCAGACAUCCAUAUGAAUUAGCUCAAACGACCUACUAGUAGUAGACGAGCUUAAUGGAAAUGGUAAUCUAACUUGCUUAACACAAAGGCAUACAGUGCAUUUAUUUAAGGACUCUACUAUAUUGGACUUACUAGCUGAAACUAUUUUAGUGAGAGUACUAGCAGACACAUGACCCAUUCUUUUGUGCCACAGACCAAUAUCUUCUGUAGUAGUUGCAUUCACAGUUGUUAGUCCACAUUUAGCUGCUUGAGCUUUAGGGAUACUGAGUCCUGCUAUGUAGUAAAGACCUCCCACUUCUUUACCAAUCUCCUUCACCUUCCCAGUGAAGAGAUCCUGAAAAAUACAGAAAUCGGGAUAAAAUUUCACAGAACAAUUUAGUUGUCUCGUAAUCUUGGAUACUGACAAUAGGCUAAACUUAAAUUGAGGAAUAUAAAACACAUUAUGAAUACUAUUGCUAGAUGAUAGCCUGCUGGAACCUAUACGAGAUACUUUGGUUUGUUCACCAUUUGGUAAGACAACAUUUUUUGAAUUUGUAGGUCGUGCAAGUGUGUUAGCGUCCAACAUAGACAAAUCAGAAGUCAUAUGAUUUGUAGCCCCUGAGUCAAUAAUCCAAUUAGGUGGACUAUUUGUGACUAGCAGAGCACUACAAGUACCUGUCAUAUUUGCUGAGUGUGUAGUAUUCAUGUGGCUUUGUUCCUGCAUCUGAUUCACCUGAUUCUUGUCCAGCAUAUGGCAUAUGUUCUCAUAUUGAGACUGAGUAAACCUAGGUCCAUCAUCCACCCUGUAUUGUCCUGGAAAGGGAACUUCCUGUUGUGAAUUUGCAACAACAUUAGGAGCAGAAGCUGUAGCUGGACCAUAAUAGUUGUGCAUUUGGUUCUGAAGUGGAAACUGAGUUGAUUGAUGCCAGUCCUGAACUACAACAUUGUGUGCUGCAUUAUAAGCAGAAGGACCUCCUCCUCUUUUGUAUUUAAACCUGUUAGCGGACUGAUCUUGUCUACCUUCAUACUUCUCAUGUUGACCAAAUUUAGGAUGAUCUGGUGGAUACCCUAUCAAUUUAUAGCAAUCCACCUUGUAAUGACCUUUGAGCUUGCAAUGAUCACAGAAGGCAUUGGGGUUGUAAUUUGGAUUGUACUUUCUUUUAGGCCUUGAACUUCCAGCUCUAGAGUACAUAGCUAAUGCAUCUAACUCACCCAUACCUCGACUUUUAUUAGUCAUUGCACUUAAGAGACCAGUUGAGUUAGAUGUAACAGACAUUGUUCUUUGAUUUUCAUCACUCAUUACCAUAGCAUAGGCCUGAUUUACACUCGGAACAGGACUAAGUAACAGAAUGUGACUUCUAACUUGAGCAUACGACUCAUUUAGUCCCAUUAGGAACUGAUAUAAUUUCUGCCUUUGAAAAUAUAUGACAAAGUCUUUAGAUUUUUCACAGUUACAACUUGGAGCGGGGAUCAUAGAACUAAAUUCAUCCCACAAAUCCUUCAUCUUUGUGUAGUACUCAGACACCGACUGAGCACCUUGAGUGCAAGUAGCAAUCUCCUGGUGAAUGUUGAAUGCCCUAGAACCAUCAACCUUUUCAAAUCUUUCUUCAAAUCUUCCCAUACAGCCUGUGCAUUAAUGGCAUAGACCACACCUCCAAUCAAAUUGUUAGCCACAGAAUUCAUUAGCCAUGACAGUACUAUAGCAUUCACACGUUCCCAUUGAUGCCCUAAACUCUCAGGAAAUGACUCCUUCUUCCAAGUACCAUCAACCAGUCCUAACUUAUUCCUUCCAAGUAAUGCAAUCCUCAUAGACCUACUCCACACUAUAUAGUUUUCAUUGCCUUUCAACUGAAAUGAGAUAAUAGACGCUACACUUACAUCUGUGGACUGUAGAUACAGUGGAUGAUUAUAGUCAAUUGUAGUGUUAACUCCAGUAGUAGCACUAGUAUUUCUAGUUACUUCAUUAACCAUUUUUUUCCUUGGCUACGCAGACUAAGAGAUUUUCAACAACUUUUUUUUUUUUUACACAAGAUAUACACACAACUUUAGAUGCCUGGACUUAUCACAAACACCUUACAAACAAAAAUUUUCAAAGUUGUUCUUCGAUGCAACUAAACUUAGCAAUUGCUUAUAGAAGAGUAUAAUCUGAUGGCAAUAUUGAGCAAUUGAAUUUAACAAUCACUUCAACUAUACAGUUAACUUCUAUGAUUUGUUAAUUGAAACUCAUCUGGAUUUCUAUGUAGACAUUGUAGCAGAUUGGAAUUUCAGAAUCUCCUCUCAAUUUGAAUUCCUCGAUUGCCUCUCAAUUCUUCAAUUGAAUCUCUCGAUUGGAUGCCGAUCGCCGUAGCUCUGAUAUCAUGAAGUGAGUAACUGUUAAGCUCAAGAUCCUCAAGAAUGAGGUGAACUAUGAGAAACAUACAGGAGGAAGAGAGAAGAAAAUUAGUAGCCGUUAGGAGUACAUUGAAGAUAUUUAUAGUUCACUAAUCUAACUACCUAAUUACAUGGGCCAUCUUAGUUUAUUGGGCUACAGUUUACAUUUGGGCCUUAUGCUUUCAUUCUAUCCAACAAAGUUGCUUAUUAUCAUCUCUUAUAUUUUUUAUUUUAUUGAUUAUAGAUGGAAAAGAUAAGAUUUCAAAGCAAGUGAUUGAAGCUGUCGAUCCUCAAACUAAAUCAAUCACUUGGAAAGUGGUUGGUGGAGAUCUGUUAGAGUUGUACAAUUCCUUUACUAUUAUCACAGCAUGUGACCAUCAAUGGACUACAUGGACAUUUCUAUAUGAGAAGAAAACUGAAGACAUACCAGAGCCUCUUGUUCUCUUGGGUUUUGUCCUUCACGUGACAAAAGAUAUUGAGGGUCACCUUCUCAAGUAAUAAAACAUCAAUGCUACUCAAUGGCUCAUAGCCCUAUUUAUACAUAUGCAAAAAAAAAUAUAUAUAUAUGUAUGUUUACACACAAAUAUAUAUGUGUGUCUUUGUGUGAUAUUGACUAGCUAGUUCUAGCUAGCUAUCUAGUGUGUGAAAUAAAUAAUAUUGUGUUUGAAGAAUAUAUUACAUAUGUUCCUCUCGUUCUAGAGAUGUAUUUUUAAUGUUUAAUAUAUGUAAAAUAUUAUUAAAAUUUACCUAUAACAAAAAUGAUAUAUUUAAUAUUGUGCUUUACUUAUAUUCUCAUUCUUUUGUAGUCAAUUCCUUUUUAGGUUUCUCUAGUUUUAAGACGAGCUAUAAAUUUUAAACCUUUAAUUACACUUUGGUUUCUACUUUGCAAAAAUAGCCAUUGGGCCAACUAAAAAAGCUGGAAAGUGAAGCCCAAAACACCUCCAAACUUCCUAAAAAUAUUUUAAACUCCAAAGUUAAAAUAAAAUAAAAUACUUUUUCAUUCAUUUUUUAUCUAUAAAUACUUUCUAAAUUUCAUCAUUUUUUCUACAACAUUAAUCUCCUUAUUAUCUCUCAAUUUUCUCUUUAAGUCUUAAUUUCUCUAGCAAUCUCUUAUUAUUCUUGCAAUUAACAACAUAAAAUAAAAGUUUUCAACUUUGGUAUAUCAUCGUUCCAUCACUUAUUUAUUUAGUAUAUUACUUCUUAAAUAUUAAAUUAUUUUUAUUUUUUAAAAUUUAAUUUGCACGAUGGAUAAAAUAAGAAAAGUAAGUAUAAGUGUUAAAAUUUGUAUCUCGAAGAUAGUAGUGGUAGUAAGAAAACAAACGAUUCUGAUAGAGAUGUCAAGACAUGCCCAAAGGUGCCAAACAGACCUUUGACAUGUUUAAUUUAAGUACUACAUCACCACUUUUAUUGGCUUAAAGAGAUAUUCUAAAUUAUCUUCAAAAUCAAGAGAAUAUUUUAGUAGAAUUCUUUUUUAAGAAUUCUAACUCCGGAAAAUAUGUUUUGACAUAAAAAAUUUAAAAGUUGGAUUUUUAGAUUUUUUUUAAAAAAGAUUAAAAAACAACAAAAAGUAUCUUAAAAUUUUUCAAUCCAAAUUGCUCACAAAAAGUAAAAAAUAACUCUAAUUUAUAUUUAUGGCUAGGGGUGUUCAUGGUUUGGAUAAAAACCGAUCCAAACCGAAAAACCAAACCAAACCGAUUUAAUUUGGGUUUUGGUUUAGUUUGGUUUUAGAUUGUUAAGAACCGAUAGUAUUUGGUUUGGUUAUGGUUUUGUUCGGAAAAAAUCGAAGAAAUAACCGAACUGAACCAACAAGUUAUAUACAUAAAUUUUAUUAUAAUACAUACAUAAUAUAUUAUAUUCAUAAACAAUUUUAAAGAUUUUAUAUAUGUUUCAUCAAAUUUAUUUGUAAUUUACUUAUGAAAGAAAAAUGUCCAAGGUGAGAACAUUUUUCUUAUUGGUUUCAUCAUGUAUAUGAGUGUCUAUGAAAAUUCUUUGUGGGAUUGAAAAUGUCAUUGUCUCUUCCUUCUAUUCCAAAAUAGUGAAUUUUGAAGUUUUAUUCAGUAAAUUCAAUNNNNNNNNNNNNNNNNNNNNNNNNNNNNNNNNNNNNNNNNNNNNNNNNNNNNNNNNNNNNNNNNNNNNNNNNNNNNNNNNNNNNNNNNNNNNNNNNNNNNNNNNNNNNNNNNNNNNNNNNNNNNNNNNNNNNNNNNNNNNNNNNNNNNNNNNNNNNNNNNNNNNNNNNNNNNNNNNNNNNNNNNNNNNNNNNNNNNNNNNNNNNNNNNNNNNNNNNNNNNNNNNNNNNNNNNNNNNNNNNNNNNNNNNNNNNNNNNNNNNNNNNNNNNNNNNNNGUUUGGUUUUGGUUUUGACCAAUAACCGACCCAAACCAAACCGUGAACACCCCUAUUUAUGGCCAAACACAUGAUAUUAUUUUUUUUCAAAUGGAAAGUGACCAUAAGUUUACUUUUAACAUGAAUGAGGUUAGAAAAAAAGAGAGAAGGUAUUUGUGGGCAUAUUAUUUCUAGAGUAAAACUCCUAGAAUCAAACUUGGCAUGAAAGAGAUAUAAGGGAGAAAGGUAUGUUGAAAAAUGGACUUUUUAGGAAUUUUUGAGUCUCUAAAGUUCGUGCAAUCCGCUAUAGCGCGCGGUAGGCCACUAUAAUGGGAGAGUGCAUGCACUAUGGCGGGGUGACAAUUGCUAUAGCGGGGUAAGUCAGGGUUUUACGCAGAAAAAGUCUCAAAACCUUUUAUUUUAUGCAUUAAUGUUUUUGAGUUUGAGAGGAGAAAAUUACGGCAAUUUCUACCCAAUUUUUCAUCAAAUUCAUCGGUAAAGGUAAGUUCAUUACUCCCCGAUCUUGUAAUUUGAUUCUUAAGCCUUAGAAUCUAGGGUAUUACUCUUGGGGGAAGAUUUUGAUUUGAUUUAGUGGUGGGAAAAAGCCUCGGGUCUGGUAGAAUGAUCAUGAAUUGGCCCGAGUUUAGGAUUUGGGUAUAAGUUGGAUAUAUUUAGGCCAUUUUUGAUUGAUUGUUGUUUUUAUUUAUUGCUUUAGACCAAGAACAAGCCAUGGCACCGAGAAAAGGGAAGGCUCGGAUUCUUUAGAGCAUUGAGGCUUAAUUUGAAAUAGGUAUAUAGUUGUAUGUUUUCAAGUUUAUGGAUGUACACAUGUCUACCACUUUAUAGUAUCACUUGUGUAAUGCAUGUUGAGCAAAACAUAGAAAAACAUAUGAAAUAUCACCAUGUUGAUAAUCUUAUACAGUGAACUUAUUUACUUUACUUAUGAUUUCAAGUGUUAUUGUUCAUUGUGAUUGUGAUUGUGUAUGAUUGUUUGUGAUUGCUGGUUGGCCCGGGUACCACACUGAUACAUGAAUAAUAACGGUUGGCUCGAAACCAUACCUCGUAAGAAUAUUAACUCUAGUUGACUCGGGUACCAUGCCGAUAUACCAACAGUUUGUGUGUGGGUUCCUUGAGAGGACCAUGUAUGUGUAUUUGUGGUUCCACGAUAGGGUGGGGUUCUUGUAAUUGUAAUCAUGUGGGACAUGUUCUAGGUAUUGGUUAAUUCAUGUUAUUGUGACUGUGAGUCUAUGUGAUUGUGAUUGUUAUUAUAUGUGUUGGCUUGUGUUUAUUGUGUUGUGGUUAUUUGUUUACAUUCAUGAUUUGGAACUGACAGAGUGAUCCUACUAGUACACUCUGGUUGUGUGCUGAUAUUGCACCUGUUUUUUUUUUGUUGAGUACAGAAUAUCUUUCGGGGGCUGAUAUGAUACCUCAGUUAAGGGAUGUUUGACUUCGAAUCCAAGGUGAGCUACUCUUCCAGACUGCCAUGGAUUCCUCUACGUCUUCUUGCCUAUCUUUUCAGACACAAACUCUAGAUUAUUAGUUUAUGUUUCCUAGCAUUCAGGGUUGCAUCCUCAUUAUUGACUAAAUAGAGUUUUGCUACUACGACUUUCAGUUUCUAGAGGUUUUAUUUCCGCAAUAUUUUGGACUAACGACUGAGUUUAUACACACUCAAUUCUUUAAUUGUAUUAAACUAAUUUUUUACUAUUUCUUUUCAUGACUUGAGACAUGGUGUGUUGGAUUAACUUUGGAUUGAUACAUUGUUCUCCCAUCAGGUGGUUAAUGUGGGUGCCACUCACGACGAUAAGGUAGUAGAAUAUUUUAAAUAAUUGAGUGAUAUUUUUUUACCUUUUCCCCUUGAUACUAUGUUAAAUUGGGAGGUUCUUUAGCUGGUGGACCAAUUACCUGCGUUGUAUUUUUGACUUUGAGUAAUGGUAUUACGUAUAUUGACAUUGCCAUGAAAAUGGAAUAUUAAUUUAGGUGCUUAGCAUUAUUAAGAGCUUGACUUGUUACACGAAUAAUGCAUCGUACGUUGCAUAUAUAAAUUUAUAUCUAUUUCUUUGUCUACCUUGAAUAUAUAAGAUUGUUAUUAAUUUAAGUUAAAAAAAAAACAAUAAUUUAUUUAGAGAGAAACAACAGUAAUAUUGAGGGAAUAAAUAGAACAUUUUGUCUUUCUAAAUGAAUUAUUGAGCAAAGCUGUGUAAAUAUAUGUAACAUGCAUGAAUAUAUAUUCCAAUACCUCUAAUAAUUGUAGACAAAAUGUUGUCAUUGUCAUAAACCUAUAUAUACAUUGAAUGUGGGAAUAUGUCAAUUAGUUCAUGUCAUGCAUGGUCAGUUUUACAAAUAUGUCUUUUGAAAUGCCCUUCAUGCAGAAUUAUUGGCAUUGCUCCAUGGUUUGAACCUAGCAAAGGAAAAAUAAAGUAAAACAGUUGCUGGUGGAAACUGACUCUCAGGUAUUGCUUAAUACAUUAAAAGGAAAUAAUCUUAUUUACUCACAUAUUUACACUGAUUAAUUACAGGUCACUAAUCCAGCAGAUGGAGGAGGCAUCUCUGCAACACAUUCAGAGGGAGGCUAACUGAUCAGUGGCGGACCUACUAGCAGAUUACGGAAGGACAACAAAGGAUCCAAAUAUGAAUAUAAACCAGCUUAGCCUUUUUGAUGCAUCUCCUUCCUUUAUAUUAAAAACUCUCAAAAGAGAUUCUACUGGAACUACAUCGCUUAGAUCAAUUCCUUUUUUGUAAUGGAUAAACCUUAUAUUAAAUAAAUAAAAUCCUUUCAUUCUUAAGCAAAAAAAAAAAUGUCUUUUGGGUUAUAAUGCCACAUCGAAUUCCAAAAACGUGCGUACUAUGUGAACUUAAAAUUUAAUGUAUAAAGUUCUUUAUUUUCCGCUUGCAUUUUGAUGUGCGGUUCAACAUACUUCAAUUUCAAAAACUUGACAAUCUGAAAGCCUUUGAAUCCUGUUUGACUCGUUCUCCUCAUCAGUUUGCCCUCCAUAAAAUGAAUCAAGCUAGUAAGUUCCAAGUACUAAAUGUUUAUAUAUAUAUAUAUUCAGCGAUAAAAUUCAAUAAAUCUUAGAGAAAUCUAAUUUCAAAACAACUAUAACAAAUUAUCAAGAUAUUCUGUCAUAAGCUUUUAAAACCACGCCAUUGCCACCAUUAUUUGUAUGAAAGAUAUUUUGAAUUAUCUCCUAAACCAAGAGAAUAUUUUAUGUAAUUAUACUUAGAUUUUUUACCCUUAUUCUAUCCUUCACAAAAUCACUUUGGUUAAGAUAAAUUAAUUCAUGCAAUAGAGGAUUAAGACUUUUUUGUUAAAAAAAAUAGAGGAUUAAUAAGACUACUUAUGCCCAUUUUCUUUCAUUUUUGCUAGAAUUUUUAUCCUUUGAAAGAUUUCACUAUUUCAGUUACAUAAUAUGAAUUCCUUGUGAUUUGUAAACCUUAUUUUAUACAUUAAAUAAAAAUAAGUUGAGUGGUUGAAGUUUCAAUAUUGUAAAGGACCCCAUUAAAUCUUCCAUGAUAUAUGGUGAUACUCGUGGAUCUGCAUGUUUUAUAAGUAAUAUAUUUUUAGGCGUUUAUCUAUGAUUCUUUUUUAAGAAUUCUAACUCCGGAAAAUAUGUUUUGACAUAAAAAAUUUAAAAGUUGGAUUUUUAAAUUUUUUUUAAAAAAGAUUAAAAAACAAAAAAAAAAGUAUCUUAAAAAUUUUCAAUCCAAAUUGCUCACAAAAAUUAAAAAAUAACUCUAAUUUAUAUUUAUGGCCAACACAUGAUAUUAUUUUUUAUUUUAAAAAUAAAAACUAUUUUUUUUCAAAUGGAAAGUGACCAAAAGUUUACUUUUAACAUGAAUGAGGUUAGAAAAAAAAGAGAGAAGGUAUUUGUUGGCAUAUUAUUUCUAGAAGUAAAAAAAAGGCUUUGGUAGGUUAGGGAAAAAACUACCUCUAAUAAUUGUAGACAAGUUCUAGGAUGGACCAAUUCAGACGAAAUUCGAGCGAGGCGAAGUCUAGGGCCAUCCGAGAAUGGAUGAGGCAAAAUGUCAGGCUUGAUUUAUAACCAAGAACCCGUAGGACAUUAUUACAAAAUUGAUUUUGGGUGAGUAAAACUCCUAGAAUCAAACUUGGCAUGAAAGAGAUAUAAGGGAGAAAGGUAUGUUGAAAAAUGGACUUUUUAGGAAUUUUUGAGUCUCUAAAGUUCGUGCAAUCCGCUAUAGCGCGCGGUAGGCCACUAUAAUGGGAGAGUGCAUGCACUAUGGCGGGGUGACAAUUGCUAUAGCGGGGUAAGUCAGGGUUUUACGCAGAAAAAGUCUCAAAACCUUUUAUUUUAUGCAUUAAUGUUUUUGAGUUUGAGAGGAGAAAAUUACGGCAAUUUCUACCCAAUUUUUCAUCAAAUUCAUCGGUAAAGGUAAGUUCAUUACUCCCCGAUCUUGUAAUUUGAUUCUUAAGCCUUAGAAUCUAGGGUAUUACUCUUGGGGGAAGAUUUUGAUUUGAUUUAGUGGUGGGAAAAAGCCUCGGGUCUGGUAGAAUGAUCAUGAAUUGGCCCGAGUUUAGGAUUUGGGUAUAAGUUUGAUAUAUUUAGGCCAUUUUUGAUUGAUUGUUGUUUUUAUUUAUUGCUUUAGACCAAGAACAAGCCAUGGCACCGAGAAAAGGGAAGGCUCGGAUUCUUUAGAGCAUUGAGGCUUAAUUUGAAAUAGGUAUAUAGUUGUAUGUUUUCAAGUUUAUGGAUGUACACAUGUCUACCACUUUAUAGUAUCACUUGUGUAAUGCAUGUUGAGCAAAACAUAGAAAAACAUAUGAAAUAUCACCAUGUUGAUAAUCUUAUACAGUGAACUUAUUUACUUUACUUAUGAUUUCAAGUGUUAUUGUUCAUUGUGAUUGUGAUUGUGUAUGAUUGUUUGUGAUUGCUGGUCGGCCCGGGUACCACACUGAUACAUGAAUAAUAACGGUUGGCUCGAAACCAUACCUCGUAAGAAUAUUAACUCUAGUUGACUCGGGUACCAUGCCGAUAUACCAACAGUUUGUGUGUGGGUUCCUUGAGAGGACCAUGUAUGUGUAUUUGUGGUUCCACGAUAGGGUGGGGUUCUUGUAAUUGUAAUCAUGUGGGACAUGUUCUAGGUAUUGGUUAAUUCAUGUUAUUGUGACUGUGAGUCUAUGUGAUAGUAAUUGUUGUUAUAUGUGUUGGCUAAUGUUUACUAUGUUGUGGUUAUUUGUUUACAUUCAUGAUUUGGAACUGACAGAGUGAUCCUACCAGUACACUCUGUUGUGUGUUGAUAUUGCACCUGUUUGUUUUUUUGUUGAGUACAGAAUAUCUUUCAGGGGCUGAUAUGAUACCUCAGUUAAGGGAUGUUUGACUUCGAAUCCAAGGUGAGCUACUCUUCCAGACUGCCAUGGAUUCCUCUACGUCUUCUUGCCUAUCUUUUCAGACACAAACUCUAGAUUAUUAGUUUAUGUUUCCUAGCUUUCGGGGUUGCAUCCUCAUUAUUGACUUAAUAGAGUUUUGCUACUACGACUUUCAGUUUCUAGAGGUUUUAUUUCCACAAUAAUUUGGACUAACGACUGAGUUUAUACACACUCAUUUCUUUAAUUGUUUUAAACUAUUUUCUUACUAUUUAUUUUCAUGACUUGAGACAUGGUGUGUUGGAUUAACUUUGGAUUGAUAGAUUGUUCUCCCACCAGGUGGUUAAUGUGGAUGUCACUCACGACUAGGGGUGUAUAAAACCGAAUCAAAAAUCGAACCAAACCGCAAACUGAGUCAAACUGAGAAAAAAAACCCGACUAGUGGUUGGUUUGAAUUGGUUUGGAAUUGAAAACAAAAACCCGACUAUAUUUGGGUUGGUUUGGUUUUAACUAAAAAAAAACAACCCGAGACCAAACCAACCCGACAUUAUAUAUAUAAUUUUAAAAUUUUAUUUUAUACAUAAAAAUAUUUACUUUGAUAUAUUUUUUAAAUAUUUCUUAUACUUUUUCAUAGUUUUUAUCUUUUAAUAUAUUAUUAUUUCAAGUUUGAAACUUACAAUUCUAAAUAGUUCAAUAAAAAUUAUAGUCCACAGAUGUUGGUAAUUAUAAUAAAGCUUAAAUCAAAAUCAAAUUAAUACUAAAGCAAAAAAAAUAAAUCAAUUCAACACUAAGAAUGACAAUAAUAUUGAAUAUUUGUUCUAUGGUUUUACAUUGGUUUAUUCAAAUACAUAAUCUAAUUUUAAUUUCAUUUAAUAUUUAGUCAUGCAUGUAACUAAUACUUAUUAAACUUAUUUUAGCAUGAUUUAGUACUUUUAAAUUAUGUUCAUUUUCAUUAUGACUUGUUAAUUUGCAAUAUUUAUUUUACACGAUUUCAUUAUUAUUAUUUUUUGUUGGAUAUUUUAGCAUCAUUACUCAUAUAAUAUUUUGUGUUAUUUUCUUAAGAAACACCUUAGAUAGUUGUAUUUUGGUAGGACUAAAGAAAUAUUUGAAGUAGAAGUAAAUUAUAUGUUUGUAUGAAUACUUUACCGGAAAAACCCGAAAAUUCGAAAAUCCCGAAAAAAUCCGAAAAAACCCGAAGGUGAAAAACCCGAGUUUUAUUGGUUUGGUUUUGUUUAUAGAUUUAAAAAUCCAACACAAAUGGUUUGGUUUGAUAUUUGAAAAACCCGAAUCAACCCGGCUAUGUACACCCCUACUCACGAUGAUAAGGUAGUAGAAUAUUUUAAAUAAUUGAGUGAUAGUUUUUACCUUUUCCCCUUGAUACUAUGUUAAAUUGGGAGGUUCUUUAGCUGGUGGACC